rnacentral:rRNA from 1 species
UACGAGUGCUCCAAGCGUUAUCCGGAAUUAUUGGGCGUAAAGGGUGUGUAGGUGGUUAUGUUAGUCCUGUGUUAAAUUCUUCGGCUCAACCGGGGUCUGCGUGGGAACGGCAUAACUAGAGGAUGGGAGAGGUGUACGGAACUCAUAGCGUAGGGUGAAAUCCGUUGAUAUUAUGGGGAACACCAAAUGCGAAGGCAGUACACUGGCCCACUCCUGACACUGAAACACGAAAGCGUGGGUAGCGAAUGGG